CACCGGCAGCUCUAGUGGUAACAAUUUUUAUUGGGCCCUAAAGCGUCCGUAGCCGGUUUAAUAAGUCUCUUGUGAAAUCCUAUAGCUUAACUGUGGGAAUUGCUGGAGAUACUAUUAGACUUGAGACCGGGAGAGGUUAGAGGUACUCCCAGGGUAGAGGUGAAAUUCUGUAAUCCUGGGAGGACCGCCUGUUGCGAAGGCGUCUAACUGGAACGGUUCUGACGGUGAGGGACGAAAGUUAGGGGCGCGAACCGGAUUAGAUACCCCCGUAGUCC
rnacentral:rRNA from 1 species